rnacentral:rRNA from 1 species
GAUGAACGCUAGCGGCAGGCCUAAUACAUGCAAGUCGAACGGGAUCCAGAUCAAAGCUUGCUUUGGUUUGGUGAGAGUGGCGUACGGGUGCGUAACGCGUGAGCAACCUACCCUUGUCAGGGGGAUAGCCCGGCGAAAGUCGGAUUAAUACCGCAUGACAUCAUUGAGAGGCAUCUUUCGAUGAUCAAAGAUUUAUCGGACAAAGAUGGGCUCGCGUGACAUUAGCUAGUUGGUAAGGUAACGGCUUACCAAGGCUACGAUGUCUAGGGGCUCUGAGAGGAGAAUCCCCCACACUGGUACUGAGACACGGACCAGACUCCUACGGGAGGCAGCAGUAAGGAAUAUUGGUCAAUGGACGGAAGUCUGAACCAGCCAUGCCGCGUGCAGGAAGACGGCCCUAUGGGUUGUAAACUGCUUUUAUACGGGAACAAACGUCGGUACGUGUACCGGUCUGAGUGUACCGUAAGAAUAAGGAUCGGCUAACUCCGUG